AGAACGAACGCUGGCGGCAUGCCUAACACAUGCAAGUCGAGCGCCCCGCAAGGGGAGCGGCAGACGGGUGAGUAACGCGUGGGAACGUGCCUUUUGGUUCGGAAUAACUCAGGGAAACUUGAGCUAAUACCGGGUAAGCCCUUCGGGGGGAAAGAUUUAUCGCCAAAAGAUCGGCCCGCGUCAGAUUAGCUAGUUGGUGAGGUAAAAGCUCACCAAGGCGAUGAUCUGUAGCUGUUCUGAGAGGAAGAUCAGCCACACUGGGACUGAGACACGGCCCAGACUCCUACGGGAGGCAGCAGUGGGGAAUAUUGGACAAUGGGGGCAACCCUGAUCCAGCCAUGCCGCGUGAGUGAUGAAGGCCUUAGGGUUGUAAAGCUCUUUUACCAGGGAAGAUAAUGACUGUACCUGGAGAAUAAGCCCGGCUAACUUCGUGCCAGCAGCCGC
rnacentral:rRNA from 1 species